UACGUAGGGGGCGAGCGUUGUCCGGAAUUACUGGGCGUAAAGGGCGCGUAGGCGGCCAGGUAAGUCCGCUGUGAAAGACCGAGGCUCAACCUCGGGGUGUCAGCGGAGACUGCUUGGCUAGGGUGUCGGAGAGGAGCAGGGAAUCCCUGGUGUAGCGGUGGAAUGCGUAGAGAUCAGGGGGAACACCGAUGGCGAAGGCACUGCUCUGGCCGAAGACCGACGCUGAGGCGCGAAAGCUGGGGGAGCGAACGGG
rnacentral:rRNA from 1 species